rnacentral:rRNA from 1 species
GACGAACGCUGGCGGCGUGCCUAAUACAUGCAAGUCGAACUCAGUGGGGACGGGUGAGUAACACGUGGGUAACCUCCCAUCAGAGGGGAUAACACUUGGAAACAGGUGCUAAACCGAUAUUUAUUGAUGGACCCGCUGUGCAGUAGCUAGUUGGUGAGGUAACGGCUUACCAAGGACACGAUGCAUAGCCGAGCGGAGAGGGUGAUCGGCACCACUGGGACUGAGACACGGCCCAGACUCCUACGGGAGGCAGCAGUGGGGAAUAGUGCACAAUGGGCGCAAGCCUGAUGCAGCCAUGCCGCGUGUGUGAAGAAGGCCUUCGGGUUGUAAAGCACUUUCAGCGGGGAGGCGUUACCCGCAGAAGAAGCACCGGCUAACUCCGUGCCAGCAGCCGCGGUAAUUC